AGUCUUAUAUUCAUUUUAUGAUAUUAAAUUGCAAAUUUAAAGGAAUAAUUAAUAAAUUAUUAAGGCUU
rnacentral:tRNA from 1 species